CCAGCACAUUUAGGGAGUUUAGCCACUAGACCACCUGGCUGGGCCUAGAAUCAUGAUUUUAUCAUACAAAAGAACUUCCUUUGAUUUUUUUUUCCCUCCAUACCUAUAUCUGAAGUAACUCUUUUAUGGUAUCUAUUAGUGAAAAGUGGAGAUUUGAAAUAAUAAAUGCCAGGAUUUGUGUGGUUAGUGCAGCAGGUAAUUUAUAAAUGAUGGUUUGUUUCAAGAUUAUCUUAUGCUUGUUGCAUGACUUCUGUGUAUGCACAGAGAAGUCAGGGGCAGGCAGGAAGUUACUUCCUUCUGAUGUGAAACAUGGGACAAAACAAGAUAGGGUGUGUUCAGCUGGUCUAGCACCCCUCUCCCCUUGUUUAUGUAUCUAUUGUUUCUUUUAUGUGGCCUUAGAGUUUACAUCCGAUGAAAUGGGACUUCUAUUGUUGACAGGUACUGCUGAUGCCGCUAUUAAUACAAGGCAAGUUUUUGGCACCAGUAUGAUAUGAAGGCAGAUCUUUCAAGUCAGAAAAGGGGUUUUAAAAAUCCCUGAGUUUAGCUUCCAUGCUCCUAACUUGUAAAUUAUUACUCAUUGUUCUGAAACUCAUUUCUUCUGUACCUCCAAUAAUUGACUUUGUGUAAACAGAACCAUAGUUUAAAUUUAGCAGGAAACAUUGUGUCUUCUGAGACUCACAUUUUCUGGAACGGAACUUUUCAACUUUUGUAAUAGGUAAAGAUGAACUCCCCACUUUCCUGUUUUUUUCCCUUGUUCUUUCUUCACUUAUGUUGGAUUUCUUUUCAAAAUGCUAGAUAGAUUUGAAACACUUGGCCAGAACUCUCAGGUUUUUUUCAACUGCCCAAUCCAGGAACCACAACUAGUUUUGUAGCUUUAAAAGUGAGAGUCAGAUGUAUUCCAGUAACCGAUGGGAGCAUAGCUUAGCAUUGUGGCAGGAAAGAUCCUGUUGUGGGAGGUAGAAAGGAUGAGUUUGGGUUGAAUAAUCUAUGUGGGGCUUUUCUUAAAAAAAAAAAAAAACCAAGAACUUAAAAAGCUAUUUUUCUUAAUUUAAAAAAAACAAAGUAAACUCAUCAUCUGCCAUUUUACAACAAUGAAAUAACUGCUGUUCAUUAAGUAUCAGCUGUAAACCAGUUGUCAAGAUAGGCAAUGGAAGAUGUGGUAUUGCAUUUAAUUUUUAACGUCUCUUAAAUGAAGUACUUAGUUUUUCUAAAAACAAUUUUAUUUGGAACAUGAAGAGGACUGCCUCUCCCAAGGAACAUUUUCGUAUUUAGUUCUUUCAGAUUUUUACCAUUUGGUCAUCUUAUAUCUUCUCCUUUAAUAUUGGUUUGAACAUAGGCACAGGUUUUUCAUAAGUUGAUCAAGAGUUUCAAAGAGAAACAUGUGCAUGAUGUUCUUUAUUAGUAAUUAAUGUGUGUUGAAAUUGUAAAAAGAAUGAGAUUAGUCUGAUUUAUAAGUAUGUGUUAUUUAUGUCUGAUAUGUUUUAUGAUAGGCAUUUUGAAUAUUUUAGUAUACUCAUCUGUCAGUCUUUAUGGGGGAAUUCAUUUUAGAGCCUCUGCUUCUUCAUUCCUCAUAUUCAACACCUGGGGAUAUUUAAGUCUUCUAUAAAAAGAUAGUACUUAUUACGCAAUCCUUUUGUGUAUUUUAAUCAUUUUUUAUAUGUCAAUAUUUUUAUAGCACCUAAUAUAAUGUGAAUGAUAGGUAAAUAGUUGUAUUGUUCAUGGAAUGACAAGAAAAAAUUCUAUGCAUAUUCAGUGAAGAUGUAAUUGUUUUUGAGUAUUUUCAGUUUGUGAUUUCUUGAAUCUGUGACUUGGGACCAGCUGAUAUGGAGAGCUGACUGUGUGUCUUUCUGAAGUACUUAGAAAAUUUUUGAAAAGCUUAGGCUUUUUCCUUUCUGGAGCUUUUGGCAAGUAUGACUAUGUUAAUACUAUGUUAAAUGUUUAUCUUGAUGUGUCAUGUUCAGAAUUUUACUAGCACUAUAAGAAUUCACUGUAAGCGAAAGGACGCUAGGUAUAUGAUGAUGGAAUUUAAAGAGACAGGGUGCACUACCCUAGAAAAGAAAAGCCCUCCUGUAUGAUUUGCUUACUU